CAAAAAAUUCCUGACAGCCGAGAUCUUGUUCUUUAUAAAAAAAAUUAUACGUAAUAAUAGGCUAUAAACGUUCACAUGAUGGCGCCGUCGACCGCGGGCAUUGAUGGCUGGAGCAGCGGUAUUCUAUUAAAGCUCUUAUGUCCGAAGGCACUGCAGUUGAGCUGUCACGUCAGUGGCUGUGGAAACGUAUAAUUUUUAAUACCUAAAAAAAUAGGAGAGAGAGAGAGAGAGAGAGGGCGAUAGGCUGGGUGGGGACGGGAGACAUGUCCAUCAGCGACAAGGGGUCAGCUAGUCAGCGACACACACACACACAUACACACACACACACAGGUGGGAUAGUCUUCAUCGCCAAAGCAAAAAGAUGAAUCAUGCAAUGAGUGAAGGAGAAAUGCGGAGCGACAUUCUUCACGAAUCAAGGAAGGAGCCCCAUCUGUACACAGACCGACAAGUGCUUCCCAACUCAGCCCAUGUUUAAUAAGGAGAAAGGCUUCUAGGAUUUUGAAAAUAUCUUCUCCACGAGUUGUUGUGGCCACUGGCUCAGAGUACAAGUACUCAUCCUUCAUACCUUCCUUGUCAAGGUAGCGAACAUAAACAAUAAGUUGGGAACAUGAGGCAACAUCUGUCGACUCAUCCAUUUGCAAGGAAUAAACAAGACUACUCUUCACAGCACUCACAACUUGCAGGAGAAUAUCCUCACUCAUGUCCGAGAUCCUACUUUUGACUGUAUCAAAAGAAAAAUAAAGAAAAGAUGUAUAAAUGUACAACAGAAACAUAAUAAAUGGCAAACACAAGAAAAUACUGAGUUUUGUGGCAGAUAGAAGCAGCCUCAAAGGCUGCUUUUACUCCGUCACUCGUCAAUACCCGUAUCUCCCCUCCUGCGUCACGACUUGCUCUGCUGAAAUUACCGCACCAUAACCACGUCAUCUGCCACAAUGAGCACAUCUACGGGCCGGAGAACCAGCGCAGAAAAGGAGUAAGUUUAAUUGGUCGCCAGAUGAAACGGUCUUACAUCAAAUUCAAGAAAAAAUACGUAUAAUCAGAGGGUGUUAUGGGAAGAGUAUUACCCCUGAGGAUAAGAAGAGAGCGUGGACUGAAGUGGCAGAAGCUGUAACAAGUGCCUUCCCUGGGAGUGGACCCUGUACGCAGGAUGACUGUGAGAGGCGUUGGUACAACGUACAACAAAAAUUAAAGCCUUGCAUUGCCAAGUGCAAGAAUGAGCAGCGGCACUGGUAAUUUUUUUUAGUUGUUAUGUCUUUAAAUGUUAGUUAGUUUUUUAUGUGCUCACAGAAUGCAGCUAUACUGGCCACAAUGCCUUUAUUUCAGCUUAAAGUUAAUAAGUUCAUAGCAGUGAACUGCAUAUUUGAUAUAGAAAUUUUUUUAAUGUUCAUCUGUCAAUGACUAUCAGUCUAUCUAAAUACCUUGGUUGUCUUCCCCCAGUGAAGGGUUUUAGCCAAGACAGGCACACACUUACUCACACUCAUGUACACCACUCUCUCAGCUGCACAGCCCCUGAGGGAGUAAAAAAGGCCCUCACUGUAUGGGGGAUUAGCUGCACAGUUCAGACAGGGAACUUCCACACCAAGGCCUCACAGCAUACACUGGUUUACCCCUGCCCCUUCAUAACAAUGACAUUUCCCCCAGCACCUGAGUGCCCCACACGUGUGGCACCACAGAUAUGCAGGCGCCUGCCUAUAUAACUAUGACAUUAACUGUGGUAGAUAAACUGGUGUAUGACAUCAUAGGCUGCUCGUCUCAUGUAUUUGAAGGGGUACCAGAGCCAUUCAGCAUUGACAUGAUGUGCUAGGGAUAGGACAGCAGCAACAGUCAAGCAGCAGUGAAAUAUUGACUGGCCUGUAUGUUUUUGGCAAAAACUUUUAUAUUCUCAUUAAAACAAUUUAUUAAUCACCCUUAAAUUCAUAUUCUUUGUAGAUACACACUUUAUCAGUAUUGCUAGAGACCAUCCCAGCACAUUGUUCAUUACUUGUGGAAAAGAUACCAUUAGCUGCUCCGGCAACAGCCACUGCUUCAAUAUCUGCUGGCCUUUGACAUUAGCCACUGCUUCAUCAUCUGCUGGCCCAAUGACACCUGCCACUGCUUCAUCAUCUGCUGGCCCUAUGACACCAGCCACUGCUUCAUCAUCUGCUGGCCCAAUGACACCUGCCACUGCAAGGGAUGACAAUGAAGCUGCUCCACCAGUCACCACCUACUUCAUCGGAGUUAAGAGAUGCCUUUCAUAGGGUAGCAGUAUAAUUUUUUUAUGCUGGGGCUGAAUAUUACUGCCUCAAGGCUAUGAUUUUGUCACUUUUUUUUUAUUACUGAGGAGGUUAGGGUGGAAGGGGUGAAAAAUAAUCUGUGCUGUUUUUCGACAGAAAUGGUUAGCAAAUUCAUUCAAAGCACAAAAUUUACCAGAAAAAAAAUUGUGUGCCAUUGUGAGUGGGUUCACUUGAGAUUGGGCUCCAAUACGCCUCCGUGGUCUAGUGGUCAGCAUGCCUGGCUUCUACGCGGGCCCGGGUUUGAAUCCCGGCCCGGGCAGUCGGAGUGCAGCGCACCCAGCUGAUCAUCCUCCCUCUCGGGCUGGUCGAUAAAUGACUACCUGGGGAAACUGUGGUAACCCAGAUGUCACACUGGCCCUGUGUCCCGGGGUAAUGGGCUCCCUCCCACCACAGGCUCAAGGGCUAAUGUUACGGAGAUGAGCAUUAGCUUAUAACACCUUUAGGCACCGAUCAUAUUUGCAUUUUAUGUAGUUUGUGAUGCAGGCAGGAUAUUCAUUAGCACCUAAUUAGACUCAUGCUGCUCUCCAGUGCUCUCUGAUGAACUCACAAUCAAAGAUGUAGUAUACUUAUAUGGUAGCAUUGAUUAAUCUUAGGUCACUUGGUAAAGUGUUCACCUAAGUCCGACCCAAGCUGACAACAUAAACCUAAGCGUGUUUGCAAGCUGAGUGUUUAGAAUAUUGGCAUAAUAAUAAAAGAUGCUGAAAACUGGAUUCCACUACUUUAUUGAAUAUAUGAAUAAUUAUAUACUGAAUUUGUAAUGGAGCCAAGAUAAAAAAAAAGCUAUGUUUUUCAGCGGUCAUACCAUGAUCUCAUGAAAAUAAUUAGGUUGACAUAUAUAAUUAAUUACUACGUAUUUUGGUAUGAUGACCAUUGCACGUUAAUACCAUAGCUUUGCUAGCAUUGAGUAAUCUUAGGUCACUUGGUAAAGUGUUCACAUAAGUCCGACCCAAGCUGACAACAUUAACCUAAGCAUGUUUGCAAGCUGAGUGCUUAGAAUAUUGGCAUAAUAAUAAAAGAUGCUGAAAACUAGAUUCCACUAAUAGAGUAAUUAUAUACUGAAUUUGUAAUGGAGCCAAGGUAAAAAAGCUAUGUUUUUCAGUGGUCAUACUAUGAUCUCAUGAAAAUAAAUAGGUUGACAUAUAUAAUUAAUUACUACGUAUUUUGUUAUGAUGACUAUUGCACACUAAUACCAUAGCUUUGAAUCCAAUGAUGAAUAUCUUCAAGCAAGACACAAAUAGCAACAGAUUGGUCACCAAUUCACUCAGUAAACACAAUACUCCAGAAAAGUAUACACUGAAUUCACAAUAAAGUUGUUUUUCCACUUGGAACUUUGUAAACAGAAACCAAGUAACCUCGUUUUACUUCACUUAUAAGUCAUGAUGUUCGCGAUGUGGUCACCUCGACCUUUCGUUCCACCUCCCUCACACUGGCAGACGUCUCUAACAAGCUUUUUUACCACCAUUAUCUCAAUACGAAUAACCAGCAGGAGUAAUUUGUUUUCUAACGAUUUUAAAGCAACAAUAAUUAUAAAUCAUAUUCUAAAUUACAUUUUAAUGCAAUUUUAAUGUCAUCUUUUUCAUUUGCAUGUGUGUACCUUUCUGCUACAAAUAAAAGUUUUUUUCCCA